AUACGGCGAAACUGCGAAUGGCUCAUUAAAUCAGUUAUCGUUUAUUUGAUAGUACCUUACUACUUGGAUAACCGUGGUAAUUCUAGAGCUAAUACAUGCUAAAAAUCCCGACUCACGGAGGGAUGUAUUUAUUAGAUUAAAAACCAAUGCCCUUCGGGGCUCUUUGGUGAUUCAUAAUAACUUUUCGAAUCGCAUGGCCUUGCGCCGGCGAUGGUUCAUUCAAAUUUCUGCCCUAUCAACUUUCGAUGGCAGGGUCUUGGCCUGCCAUGGUGACAACGGGUAACGGAGGGUUAGGGCUCGACCCCGGAGAAGGAGCCUGAGAAACGGCUACUACAUCCAAGGAAGGCAGCAGGCGCGCAAAUUACCCAAUCCCGACCCGGGGAGGUAGUGACAAUAAAUACUGAUACAGGGCUCUUUUGGGUCUUGUAAUUGGAAUGAGUACAAUUUAAAUCCCUUAACGAGGAACAAUUGGAGGGCAAGUCUGGUGCCAGCAGCCGCGGUAAUUCCAGCUCCAAUAGCGUAUAUUAAAGUUGUUGCAGUUAAAAAGCUCGUAGUUGAACCUUGGGCCUGGCUGGCCGGUCCGCCUCACCGCGUGCACUGGUUCGGCCGGGCCUUUCCCUCUGGGGAACCGCAUGCCCUUCACUGGGUGUGUCGGGGAACCAGGACUUUUACUGUGAAAAAAUUAGAGUGUUCAAAGCAGGCCUAUGCUCGAAUACAUUAGCAUGGAAUAAUAGAAUAGGACGUGUGGUUCUAUUUUGUUGGUUUCUAGGACCGCCGUAAUGAUUAAUAGGGACAGUCGGGGGCAUCAGUAUUCAAUUGUCAGAGGUGAAAUUCUUGGAUUUAUUGAAGACUAACUACUGCGAAAGCAUUUGCCAAGGAUGUUUUCAUUAAUCAGGAACGAAAGUUAGGGGAUCGAAGACGAU
rnacentral:rRNA from 1 species